UACGGAGGGUGCAAACGUUGCUCGGAAUCAUUGGGCGUAAAGCGCACGUAGGCGGCUUGUUAAGUCGGAUGUGAAAGCCCUCGGCUCAACCGAGGAAGUGCAUACGAAACUGGCGAGCUUGAAUAUGGAAGAGGGUCGCGGAAUUCCCGGUGUAGAGGUGAAAUUCGUAGAUAUCGGGAGAAACACCAGUGGCGAAGGCGGCGACCUGGGCCAAUAUUGACGCUGAGGUGCGAAAGCGUGGGGAGCAAACGGG
rnacentral:rRNA from 1 species